rnacentral:sRNA from 1 species
CGCACGCGGGUCCGCGGCGGCGCUCAGGCGCUGUCGCUCCGGUGCCGGGUCUAUCCCGGCGUUUACCCGCGGAGGCUCAACCGGAGAAAGAAAAGGA